rnacentral:misc_RNA from 1 species
GUGAGUCAUCGAAUCUUUGAACGCAUAUUGCGCCUUCCGGUAUUCCGGAAGGCAUGCCUGUUCGAGCGUCAUAUCAACCUCUCAAGCAUGAAUCUUGUUCCUCUGCUUGGUAUUGGUCAAGGAUUGAGCCUGGCUUCUUCCUGUCCGAAAUACAAUGGCGAAGUUAUGCAUUCUAUUCAGUGUAGUAAUCAACAUUAUGUUUCACUGCUGGAUGUACGAUGCUUCCGUCACAAGUUAGCUCCCCUAUUCCAAAUGUUUGACCUCGGAUCAGGUAGGGAUACCCGCUGAACUUAAGCAUAUCAAUAAGCGGAGGA